rnacentral:rRNA from 1 species
AGACUUGGAACCGGGAGAGGUAAGAGGUACUACAGGGGUAGGAGUGAAAUCUUGUAAUCCCUGUGGGACCACCUGUGGCGAAGGCGUCUUACCAGAACGGGUUCGACGGUGAGGGACGAAAGCUGGGGGCACGAACCGGAUUAGAUACCCGGGUAGUCCCAGCCGUAAACGAUGCUCGCUAGGUGUCAGGCAUGGCGCGACCGUGUCUGGUGCCGCAGGGAAGCCGUGAAGCGAGCCACCUGGGAAGUACGGCCGCAAGGCUGAAACUUAAAGGAAUUGGCGGGGGAGCACAACAACGGGUGGAGCCCUGCGGUUUAAUUGGACUCAACGCCGGACAACUCACCGGGGGCGACAGCAAUAUGUAGGCCAAGCUGAAGACUUUGACCUGAAUCGCUGAGAAGUGGUGCAUGG